GGUGAAUUAUUUAACAGUAUUCCAAUAAGUUUAAUAGCGGAAUUAAAGUAUUCGUACAUUUGAAACUAUGAAAGUAAUUAAUUUGUUCGUAAUAGUCGCAUGCAUUGUUGCCGCUGCCAUGGCUGAUCCAGGAAAUGCUAAUGCACAAGGUGUCACCAAUUCCGGUUACUUUUUCCAAGGAAGUAAAAAGUAAAAUUAUUAUUGAAAAUUUAAAGAAUUUGAUAUAAAUAAAGGAAUACAUUUCACUAAAUUUAAUAUGUGUAAAUGAAAAUGAUAAACCCCA